rnacentral:rRNA from 1 species
UACGAAGGUCCCGAGCGUUAUUCGGAAUCACUGGGCGUAAAGGGAGCGUAGGCGGCGCGGUAAGUCAGAUGUGAAAUCUGGGGGCUCAACCCCCAAACUGCAUUCGAUACUGCCGUGCUAGAGUAAUGUAGGGGUAACUGGAAUUCUCAGUGUAGCGGUGAAAUGCGUAGAUAUUGAGAGGAAGACCAAUGGCGAAAGCAGGCUACUGGACAUUUACUGACGCUGAGGCUCGAAGGCUAGGGGAGCAAAAGGG